rnacentral:tRNA from 1 species
AGAAACUUAGGAUUAAUCCAAACCGAAGGCCUUCAAAGCCUUAGACAAGAGUUAAAACCUCUUAGUUUCUG